rnacentral:lncRNA from 1 species
UGCAUGGGAUAUAUUGGGAUGGGAUGGCUUAAUUUAAGCGCAUUUGUAGCCGGGCGGGACGGCGCAGCCGCAGUUGAGGAGCACCUCGAGCGCGAUGGGCACGUAGACGGAGAGGUCCAGCACCUUGGCCUUGAGGGCGGUGCACAGGCACGCCGCCGCGGAGAGGCCGGCGACGCCCUUCACGAGCGGGCAGCACUUGACGUUGGCGUCGCCGACGUGCACCUCGUUCCCGAGGAUGUCCACGCACGCGCCGAGCUUCAGCGCGUCGAUGGGGCACUUGUCCGACGACGGCGCUGGCGUCGGGGUCGGUGGUGUCGGGGGCGGCGGGCACCCCUUCCGGCCUCCGGGCGUCAACGGCGGGAGGGGGACUGACGGCAGGGGGACCGACGGAAUGGGGACCGUCGGGAUGGCGACUGGCGGCAGGGGGACCGACGGAAUGGCGACUGGCGGCAGGGGGACCGACGGCAGGGGGACUGACGGAAUGGGAACUGACGGAAUGGGGACAGGGAAGCCGCCGGCGGGUGGCGAGCCUUUCUGGCACGAGCCGCACUUCGUCUCCGCUUUCUCCCACGCGAGGGCGAGCGGGGAGGAGGAGAGGGCGAGCACGGCGAGGACCAGCAGCGCGGUGAGCUUGGCGGACUCCAUUGCUGCCGCUGCUUCUGCUAGCGAGAGCUGAGGCUUCUGUACGAACGAACCUGCUUGUGGC